CACAUUAUAAUACGCCAUUAGAACCGAUACGAAUUUUUACUAUUUUAGUUCGCAUCGAAUGAACGCUCACAGCGAUGUAUUAUUUUUUUUUUUCGCAGAAUAACUAUCAAGAGAAAAAUUCGUCAAAUACCUGCUAUAGUUGGUUUUUACGUUGAACAUUCGUGAAUAUAAAACAGUGGUUUAUAAUGUUUGGCGAACCGCGACAUCUCUAAUUUUGUUUAUUUGUAACAAGACCGUUCUAAAAAUUUUCCAAUAUUAGAUGCGCACGAUGCUUAUGGUUAUUGAAAUCCCCUCCCUUCAAACAUUUUUGAAGAUUUUGACUUAUGCCGAUAACUACUGAUUUAGGGAUUUGUCCGUAUGGAUUGUCGUGCGAGUGUUUAAAUACGGCGCUAUAAAUAACGUCCAAAGUUCAGAGACUUGUAAAUCAAUCUGUUUUUAAUCCUCCAUGUCG